UAAAUUCCAUAUAGGGCCAUAUAUGGAUUAAGGAGUGCCUUAUACCCAUAUGCCUAUAAAACACCAACCCACAAAAUAAAUAUACCACAUGUCAUGUGCUUCUAUUGCUGCAAUCACUGACUGUCUCUCGCCCACCGCCAUAGUUUGUUUGCUUAAAUGAAUACUCAUACUUUUUAGCAAAUAAGCUGUUUGUUCAACUUCCUGUUGUGCAAUAAAAUGAGUUACACCAUUGAUCCCAGUGGGAUGUGGAACUGCUGUCAGUUGUCACAUUGCACUAAACAAAAGAGUGAAGGGUGACGGAGCAGCUCUCAUCUUGAUAUUUAAACUCUUUGCACUCAGGACAUUCAAUUUAAGGUCUUAGUUAAGCCAUUUGUUCUGUUUUGUUGUGUAGAAGUGACACAGCGCCAUCCAAUUUUAAAAUUUUUGCCACCUGGACCAGAAGAUUUUCUCUGCUGUUGCUCUGUGGCCCUCUGUGGGCGCUUGUGGCGUCCCAGGACACUCAGAGCUGUGGGGGUUGUUGUCGGGGUGGGCCAGUCUCCCACAGGGAAGGUCAAGUCAUUUCCUGCUCUGAGAGACCUCUGUCCCUCACAGCUGUCAGUGUAGUCAGAAACCCAACUCCCACAUCUGUAACCCUCUUUUCUUAUGCUUUUUCAAAGAUGUGAUGGAUUGCUCUGAAGGAAGAACUCCCUCACGCUGCUGCAAAAUUAAAGAUAGACCAUCAAAGUUCAACCACAAUCAAGGACAUCUGUUCAUCACUUUUCUUAUGAGCCCUACUCAAUUAAAGCAGAGAAACAUGAAGGUUAAAGCAGGAAUUAACAAAAAUGCUUUGACCAAAUCCUGAAAUAAGAAAUAUCUCAGAAGAUGAAUGUCUGCCCACCAAUCAUUUAACAGUGUCUCAAGCUGGAAAGGGAAAUAAAAUUUUGGAAUGGGAGAGGAAGUUGGCAGGACAGAGUGCACACCGCAGUUAUAAAUCUGAUAACAGCUGUUUACUAAAAACCACCUGCUCAAUGGAAAACAAACUGGACAGGUUUAGUGUCACCCAGAGAAUACACUUUACCAUAAAUUCACAUUAGAUUUUCAUAUUUCUCAAACUGACUUGCACAUUCAUAGUUUCUGUUUUUUUUGUGUAUCUUUGUGUUACACCUGUUGCUAAUAAAAAAAUAACAUAUGUUUCUCUUCUAAGGUCACAAAUGCUUCAAUCAGCUGAUGACCAGGAAUGGACAGGGAGGAUCUGAAGAUAUUUCAGGAGGGGAGCAAACACUUCUUACAUGUUAAAUCUCAGCUGGAUAAUGUAGUUUGAGUUGAUAACAGCAGCUUCCUAAAUUUGCAUUUCAUUGCUGUCUCAUUUGACCAUUUUGGAGUAAACCAU